rnacentral:rRNA from 1 species
CCAGCAGCCGCGGUAAUUCCAGCUCCAAUAGCGUAUAUUAAAGUUGUUGCAGUUAAAAAGCUCGUAGUUGGAUUUCUGGCGGGAGCGACCGUGUCGGACUUGAUUGUCUGUUCAACGUGUUGCAUCCCGCCAUCCUCGCGGAGAACGUUGUUGUCAUUAAUUUGAUGAUAACGGUAUCCGCGUCGUUUACUGUGAAAAAAUUAGAGUGUUUAAAGCAGGCAAUAUGCUUGAAUACAUUAGCAUGGAAUAAUAAGAUAGGACUUUGGUACUAUUUUGUUGGUUUGCAUACCAAAGUAAUGAUUAAUAGGAACAGUUGUGGAUAUUCGUAUGAGCAUGUCAGAGGUGAAAUUCUUGGAUUUUGAUCAGACGAACUACUGCGAAAGCAUUU